UUAUUUCAAUCCUUCUAGAAAAGAUCAUGGUGCUCUUGAAGACAAGAAUAGUCAUGUUGGUGAUUUAGGAAAUGUCAUUGUUGGUGAGGAUGGUACUAUUAAUUUCAAAAUUGUUGACAAGCAGAUUCCUUUCACUGGAUCAAACUCCAUUGUUGAAAGGGUUGUUGUUGUCCACAUUGAUCCUGAUGAUCUUGGAAAGGGAGUUAUUGGACUACAAGGCUUAACUAGCUCUAUUGACACUCAUGCUAGAAGAUGAGGUCUCACUUUCCUCACACAACGACACUCACCAAGCCCUGAACUUCAGUAGCGUCUGGAAACAUGCAUUCAAUGCGGAUGCUACAUCUGGGUUGAACCUCCCGGUGUUCAGGCUAAACACCCUAAGUGGACAACCAGUUAAGCAACAUCUUUGGCACCACUGCCAAAAAAUAAAAAAGGAAAGGAAUUAUUUUUUCAGUACACAGAUUUCAUUCUGAUUCCAUUAGAUAAGAGGAUGUAGAAUAUCACACAUGGAUUGAUCAAUGACAGAUACAAAAGUAGCAGAUAGAGAUAAAAGAAACACAAUACAAAGUAAUUAAUUCAAUUCUGGUGGAAAUCCCUAUUUUUCGAUUGAAAAUGGAGUACCAGUACUGGAUUAAUCUGGUGUUCUGGUUUGAAACAAUCAUCAGAUAACCAUAUAUAGAACUUCAAAUGCUGCUUAUUGUA